rnacentral:lncRNA from 1 species
UCCCAAGGAGGAAAAGUGGCGGCGGGGUGCGGGCCCUGGGUCAAUAUUGGCUUUCUGGUUAACGAGUAACGGGGCCGAGCGAGCACGGCCGCGGGUGUAAAAGCUCAGCUUUGGCAGAGCCGAGAUUUGAACCCAGCCGGCGCCGUGCCAGGGCUGGCACGAGAGGCACGGGGCAAAGGGGAGGGAUUUUUCUGGGGGAAAACACCUGGUUUUGUGCAUUGUGCUGUCCUGGAGGCUGUACCCACGGCACAUUUUGGGCUCCAGCGGCUGGCGGCAGUAACUGGACGUGCAGGACACGAGGGAUGGGGGUCACCCAGCCAGAUUUAUCUCGGGUUUAGCUCCACAUUGAAAGGCUUUGAGCCUUUAAAUGGCAGCGAUGCCAGCCCUGGAUUUCCUUGGAGCUCCAUGGCUGGCACUAAUUGCUGUGUUAAUGACUGCCGUCGCCCUCCCUUGGUCUCGUGCAGGGCUCCCCAAAUGCCACGCUCACUGGCAACACUGGGUUUGGGGUUUUUUUUCAGCCCUGCUUAUUUAUCAGCCGGCGUUGCCUUCCCAGCCACCCGGCUUGAACGUUUCUGUUCCAGUUGGCAAAGGUUUUAUGGAGCGUGGCGAGCAGGAAGCGCCGCCACGCACCGGCAGCAGGGGCAGGGGCUGAGCUCGGGCGCUCGGCUCCUCUUCGGGACGGCCAAAACUCCUCGCCCACGAGCGAGCGCGGCCGCUGCCACCUCCCCAAAAAAAAAAAAAAAGACAUUUAAAAAAAAAAAAAAAAUCAGAAGCAUAAUCAGUUUCCUUCUCACCUACAAAAAACAGAAUAUCUAAAGUAACAAAGGUGCUAAGGAAAUACAAAAUCGUGACUGCAACUCAAUGGAAGGCUAGCGAAGAAGUCUGUCCCGGCGCUGGAAGAGAACACACAGUAAAUCAACUCAGACGGAAAGUGAAGUCAUUGAAAUUUUCAUUUUGACUGAGAAGAGGCUUAAGAAAGUUCAAGAACCAUGAAUAGAGCUUCAAGUUUUCCAGUUUAGGCAUUUACUUUGUGCUUGGCUAUUUUAUUUAUGCUCCAGAAGAAAACAGUAACCACAUUCGUGUAUUUUUAGGCUCGAUACCACCACACCGUUAAGUUACAUCGACAGAAGGAAAAAAAAAAAAAAUAAACCCUUGCGCUUGUAAAGAGCCA